rnacentral:rRNA from 1 species
UACGUAGGGUGCAAGCGUUAAUCGGAAUUACUGGGCGUAAAGCGUGCGCAGGCGGUGAUGUAAGACAGAUGUGAAAUCCCCGGGCUCAACCUGGGAACUGCAUUUGUGACUGCAUCGCUGGAGUGCGGCAGAGGGGGAUGGAAUUCCGCGUGUAGCAGUGAAAUGCGUAGAUAUGCGGAGAAACACCGAUGGCGAAGGCAAUCCCCUGGGCCUGCACUGACGCUGAGACGCGAAAGCGUGGGUAGCAAACAGG